rnacentral:rRNA from 1 species
AGAGUUCGAUUAUGGCUCAGGACGAACGCUGGCGGCGUGCCUAACACAUGCAAGUCGAACGGACGACUCGGGAGCUUGCUUCUGGGAAGUUAGUGGCGGACGGGUGAGUAACGCGUGAGCAACCUGCCUCAAAGAGGGGGAUAACGUUCUGAAAAGAACGCUAAUACCGCAUGGGAUCAUAGAACCGCAUGGUUUAGUGAUCAAAGGAGCAAUCCGCUUUGAGAUGGGCUCGCGUCCGAUUAGCUAGAUGGUGAGGUAACGGCUCACCAUGGCGACGAUCGGUAGCCGGACUGAGAGGUUGAACGGCCACAUUGGGACUGUGACACGGCCCAG